UUGUUAUUCUCAUGUGUAUUUUGUAUAGUUAUAAAAUUAAUGUUAUAAAUAUAAUAAAUUGCAAUGGUCAAUAAAUACGAAUUUGUUGCUGAAGUGGUCUAUACACGUGGAAAUAAUAUGCCGCCGUCUAUAAUAUGUCACAGUCAUAUGCAGAUGGAAGACAUGAAACUUCAUUCCGAACACGACCCUGAUUCCUUACUUUACCAGAGAUCAGCAAAAAAUUAACUUUACAAACAAGAAAACGAAAUUAAAAGGAUAAAAAAAAUCAAAAAAUAAGAGUAGAUAAUACGCUAUUACUAUAGAAGUAAAGAAUAUAACAGACAGAAAUACAAAAUCAA
rnacentral:lncRNA from 1 species